CAUGAGCAAAAUGCUCAUACACAUAAGAUAAUUAAAUAAGUCAAAAAUAACUAAAAAAAAAAAAAAGGAACAAAGAGAAAUUUUUUCCUCCUGCAGAAGCCAAGGAUAGACUUUGCUCAUCUUCAUCCAGGUCCAAAUGACACCACAAGAUUUGUCUUGUGUCCAUCUCACUUCCCUACAAUCUUAUGUGAUGGCAAAAUUCUCAGAUUCCUCUUGUGCCCUGAUGACAUCACAGAACACUGUGUCACAAACUGCACCCUUCAAAUUACAAGUCUAUUUUGAACAAGACGUCUCUCCCUCCGUCCUGCCAUUUUCUUGUUCACUGUCCACGACUUGGUGUUUUCAGCUCAAGGCUGCACAUGCCACUCGAGAUUCGGGGAAGGUCCUUAGUGAUUAAAACCUUGUACAAUCAUCAGGGACAUAAGUAGAAGUAACUCAGUCCUCAGC
rnacentral:lncRNA from 1 species